UACGUAGGGACCGAGCGUUGUCCGGAAUCAUUGGGCGUAAAGAGCGUGUAGGCGGCUAUACAGGUCCGCUGUGAAAACUCGAGGCUCAACCUCGAGACGUCGGUGGAAACCGUAUGGCUAGAGUCCGGAAGAGGAGAGUGGAAUUCCUGGUGUAGCGGUGAAAUGCGCAGAUAUCAGGAAGAACACCCGUGGCGAAGGCGGAGCGCUGGGACGGUACUGACGCUGAGACGCGAAAGCGUGGGGAGCGAGCAGG
rnacentral:rRNA from 1 species